AACGGAGGCGCUCAAAGGUUCCCUCAGAAUGGUUGGAAAUCAUUCAUAGAGUGUAAAGGCAUAAGGGAGCUUGACUGCGAGACCUACAAGUCGAGCAGGGUCGAAAGACGGACUUAGUGAUCCGGUGGUUCCGCAUGGAAGGGCCAUCGCUCAACGGAUAAAAGCUACCCCGGGGAUAACAGGCUUAUCUCCCCCAAGAGUUCACAUCGACGGGGAGGUUUGGCACCUCGAUGUCGGCUCAUCGCAUCCUGGGGCUGUAGUCGGUCCCAAGGGUUGGGCUGUUCGCCCAUUAAAGCGGUACGCGAGCUGGGUUCAGAACGUCGUGAGACAGUUCGGUCCCUAUCCGUCGUGGGCGUAGGAAAUUUGAGAGGAGCUGUCCUUAGUACGAGAGGACCGGGAUGGACAUACCUCUGGUGUACCAGUUGUCGUGCCAACGGCAUAGCUGGGUAGCUAUGUAUGGACGGGAUAAGUGCUGAAAGCAUCUAAGCAUGAAGCCCCCCUCAAGAUGAGAUUUCCCAACUUCGGUUAUAAGAUCCCUCGAAGAUGACGAGGUUAAUAGGUUCGAGGUGGAAGCGUGGUGACACGUGGAGCUGACGAAUACUAAUCGAUCGAAGACUUAAUCAAUUU
rnacentral:rRNA from 2 species